rnacentral:rRNA from 1 species
CCCUUAGAUGCUCUGGGCCGCACGCGCGCUACACUGGUCGAUGCAACGAGUUUCUUUCCUUGGCCGACAGGCCUGGGCAAUCUUUGAACAUCGAUCGUGAUCGGGAUAGAUUCUUGUAAUUUUUGAUCUUAAACGAGGAAUUCCUAGUGAACGCAAGUCAUCAGCUUGCAUUGAUUACGUCCCUGCCCUUUGUACACACCGCCCGUCGCACCUACCGAUUGAAUGGUCCGGUGAAAUCUUCGGAUCUGAGAGAUGUCUGAUUAAUUUCGGACGCCUUUUGGAAAAGUUGUUUAAACCUUACCAUUUAGAGGAAGGUGAANUCGUAACA